rnacentral:rRNA from 1 species
CCUACGGGAGGCAGCAGUAGGGAAUUUUCGGCAAUGGGGGGAACCCUGAUCCAGCGACGCCGCGUGAGUGAAGAAGUAUUUCGGUAUGUAAAGCUCUAUCAGCAGGGAAGAAAGAAAUGACGGUACCUGACUAAGAAGCCCCGGCUAACUACGUGCCAGCAGCCGCGGUAAUACGUAGGGGGCAAGCGUUAUCCGGAUUUACUGGGUGUAAAGGGAGCGUAGACGGCGAUGCAAGUCUGAAGUGAAAGGCGGGGGCCCAACCCCCGGACUGCUUUGGAAACUGUAUGGCUGGAGUGCAGGAGCGG